rnacentral:lncRNA from 1 species
GUCUGUCUCUGCUGGGGGGUCUGUCUCUGCUGGAGGGGGGGUUGGGGUCUGGGGGUUGAGCGUUGAAUCACCACCUGCUGUAUUCUGUCUGUCUGUGGUGACUGGCGCCCCCUGCUGUUAAACGGUGUGAAGAACCCAGUCCAGCUCCCCUGGUGUUGUUGGUUGUGUCUAAUAGCAGAAUAUCGUCCAGAGUCUUGUAAUGUUCCAUUGCAUGUAGAUGACAGUGAGAUCUGGGUUAGUUAGUCUCUUCAACACAGACGGGUUAGUUAGUCUCUUCAACACAGACGGGUUAGUUAGUCUCUUCAACACAGACGGGUUAGUUAGUCUCUUCAACACAGACGGGUUAGUUAGUCUCUUCAACACAGACGGGUUAGUUAGUCUCUUCAACACAGACACGGGUUGGUUAGUUAGUCUCUUCAACACAGACGGGUUAGUUAGACUCUUCAACACAGACGGGUUAGUUAGACUCUUCAACACAGACGGGUUAGUUAGUCUCUUCAACACAGACGGGUUAGUUAGUCUCUUCAACACAGACACGGGUUAGUUAGUCUCUUCAACACAGACACGGGUUGGUUAGUUAGUCUCUUCAACACAGACACGGGUUAGUUAGUUAGUCUCUUACACACAGACGGGUUGGUUAGUUAGACUUACACACAGACGGACGGGUUGGUUCGUUAGACUUACACACAGACGGGUUAGUUAGUUAGUCUUACACACAGACGGGUUGGUUAGUUAAGUCCGAACUACUCCCGGAAGAGACUGUCACAUCCAACACAGGAUGUAUUUGAGGAUGACAGGGUCUAGUUUUCUAGCUGUUCAGUUCCUAGUCAAAGCUGUAAGUCAACUCUGGCAUCAUGUGUUUGUGUUUGUGGUCAGAAUUGAUUCUAUGCAACAUUUUGUAUUUGUAUGGCUUUAAACCUGGAUUAAAGAGCCGGUUAGAUGUAGAUGCUUUGGUGGUUCUGUGACAGUCCCAUCUUGACAGGUCUGACUUAAACAUACUAGUGCUGCAGAUAAACAUGUUUAUAAAGGUUAAAGCUGCUGCUGCAAUUAGGACUUCACAUGAGACCCAACCAGACUUCCACAUCUGAGUGAUAAAAACACAACCAUCGUUUUUUCCUGUUAGCCAUCUUUCUAGAGAGACCCACUCUCUGAAGCGUUUCCUUUGUGAACGACCCAGACAGCGGCUCUGAGAGAGAUGGCCUCUAGCAUGGCAGUCCUUCUCUCCGUCCGCCUGGCUGUCUGCUGCUGCUUGCAGCCCCAGAGUUAGGAGAACAGGGGGUAUGAAUAACAAACAAAGAAUGAAUCCAAUCUAGACGCUUCAACUAAAGAUGUGAAACACUGUACCAUUGAUGUUGUUAAAGGAAAGAAGACUAUUUUAAAUCCUGUAAAUAAAAAAUGUACAAAAGAGUGAAAGAUAUAAAAUAAAGAUCAGUCUGAACUGUAGAGAGAUGAAUCUGUAUAUUGUUGAAUAAAUAUUGUGCCGUAAAGGAGCUGUCUGCCUGUCAUUGUGUUGGUUUCUUCAUUCAGAGAACCAUGCAAUUAUUACACUUCACCUUACAU